AGAUCAGAAGGUGAUUGUGGCUU
rnacentral:ncRNA from 2 species